GGGGUUGUAGCUCAGUGGUAGAAUGCUCACCUCAAAUGUGUGAGGCACUGAGUUUGAUCCUUAACACCA
rnacentral:tRNA from 1 species